rnacentral:misc_RNA from 1 species
UUUUGGCCUUAUAGGGGAUCUUGGUCAAACUUAUGAUUCGAAUCGGACACUAACAAGUUAUGAAUCGAAUCCGGCAAAAGGAAAGACAGUUCUGUAUGUUGGGGACCUGUCUUAUGCUGACCAUUAUCCAGAUCAUAACAACGUAAGGUGGGACACAUGGGGAAGAUUCACAGAAAGAAGUGUUGCUUACCAACCUUGGAUUUGGUCUGCAGGGAAUCAUGAAGUUGACUGGGCUCCUCAACUCGGUGAACCUAAACCCUUUAAGCCUUUUACGCACAGAUAUCAUACCCCAUAUAAAGCAUCAAAUAGCACAUCCCCUCUUUGGUACUCCAUCAAGAGAGCUUCUGCUUACGUUAUUGUCUUGUCCACUUACUCAGCUUUAGGUAAAUACACUCCUCAAAACUUCUGGCUAGAGGAAGAACUGCCUAAGGUAGACAGGAAUGAGACACCAUGGCUUAUAGUUGUUAUGCAUGGCCCAAUGUAUAACUCUUACGUAUCUCACUAUAUGGAAGGUGAAACCAUGAGAGCUCUGCACGAGAAAUUGCUUGUCCAGUACAAAGUUGAUAUUGUCUUUGCUGGCCAUGUUCAUGCCUACGAACGAUCUGAACCUGUGUCAAAUAUCGCAUACAAUAUCACAAACAAGGAAUGCACUCCUAAAAUUGAUCAGACUGCCCCUGUUUACAUAACCAUUGGAGAUGGAG